rnacentral:rRNA from 1 species
GAGUUUGAUCGUGGCUCAGGAUGAACGCUGGCGGCGUGCCUAAUACAUGCAAGUCGAGCGAACGGACGAGAAGCUUGCUUCUCUGAUGUUAGCGGCGGACGGGUGAGUAACACGUGGAUAACCUACCUAUAAGACUGGGAUAACUUCGGGAAACCGGAGCUAAUACCGGAUAAUAUUUUGAACCGCAUGGUUCAAAAGUGAAAGACGGUCUUGCUGUCACUUAUAGAUGGAUCCGCGCUGCAUUAGCUAGUUGGUAAGGUAACGGCUUACCAAGGCAACGAUGCAUAGCCGACCUGACGAGGGUGAUCGGCCACACUGGAACUGAGACACGGUCCAGACUCCUACGGGAGGCAGCAGUAGGGAAUCUUCCGCAAUGGGCGAAAGCCUGACGGAGCAACGCCGCGUGAGUGAUGAAGGUCUUCGGAUCGUAAAACUCUGUUAUUAGGGAAGAACAUAUGUGUAAGUAACUGUGCACAUC